GUGGGGAUAGUCUAGUGGUGGUAAGGGUGUUUGAGUCCCAGUCAAAAGGUACUGGGUUCCAGCCCCCAGACGCCGCA